rnacentral:rRNA from 1 species
AGUGAACGCUGGCGGUAGGCCUAACACAUGCAAGUCGAACGGCAGCACAGAGGAGCUUGCUCCUUGGGUGGCGAGUGGCGGACGGGUGAGGAAUACAUCGGAAUCUACUCUGUCGUGGGGGAUAACGUAGGGAAACUUACGCUAAUACCGCAUACGACCUACGGGGGAAAGCAGGGGAUCUUCGGACCUUGCGCGAUUGAAUGAGCCGAUGUCGGAAUAGCUAGCUGGCGGGGUAAAGGCCCACCAAGGCGACGAUCCGUAGAUGGUCUGAGAGGAGGAUCAGCCACACUGGAACUGAGAACCGGUCUAGACUCGUACGUGAGGCAGCAGUGGGGAAUAUUGGACAAUGGGCGCAAGCCUGAUCCAGCCAUACCGCGUGGGUGAAGAAGGCCUUCGGGUUGUAAAGCCCUUUUGUUGGGAAAGAAAUCCAUCUGGUUAAUACCCGGGUGGGAUGACGGUACCCAAAGAAUAAGCACCGGCUAACUUCGUGCCAGCCGCCGCAGUAA